rnacentral:snRNA from 1 species
GUGCUCACUUCGGCAGCACAUAUACUAAAAUUGGAAUGAUACAGAGAAGAUUAGCAUGGCCCCUGAGCAAGGAUGACAUGCAAAUAAUAUCCAUACUUUCUGUAUUU